CCAGACUCCUACGGGAGGCAGCAGUGAGGAAUAUUGGGCAAUGGAGGCAACUCUGACCCAGCCAUGCCGCGUGAGUGAAGAAGGUUUUCGGAUUGUAAAGCUCUUUCGGAUGUGACGAUGAUGACGGUAGCAUCUAAAGAAGCCCCGGCUAACUCCGUGCCAGCAGCCGCGGUAAUACGGAGGAUCCGAGCGUUAUCCGGAUUUAUUGGGUUUAAAGGGAGCGUAGAUGGGUUGUUAAGUCAGUUGUGAAAGUUUGCGGCUCAACCGUAAAAUUGCAAUUGAUACUGGCAGCCUUGAGUACAGUUGAGGUAGGCGGAAUUCGUGGUGUAGCGGUGAAAUGCUUAGAUAUCACGAAGAACUCCGAUUGCGAAGGCAGCCUACUAAACUGCCACUGACAUUGAUGCUCGAAAGUGUGGGUAUCAAACAGGAUUAGAUACCCCUGUA
rnacentral:rRNA from 1 species